rnacentral:rRNA from 1 species
GAUGAACGCUGGCGGCGUGCCUAAUACAUGCCAGUCGAGCGAACAGACGAGGAGCUUGCUCCUCUGACGUUAGCGGCGGACGGGUGAGUAACACGUGGAUAACCUACCUAUAAGACUGGGAUAACUUCGGGAAACCGGAGCUAGUACCGGAUAAUAUAUUGAACCGCAUGGUUCAAUAGUGAAAGACGGUUUUGCUGUCACUUAUAGAUGGAUCCGCGCCGCAUUAGCUAGUUGGUAAGGUAACGGCUUACCAAGGCAACGAUGCGUAGCCGACCUGAGAGGGUGAUCGGCCACACUGGAACUGAGACACGGUCCAGACUCCUACGGGAGGCAGCAGUAGGGAAUCUUCCGCAAUGGGCGAAAGCCGGACGUAGCAACGCCGCGUGAGUGAUGAAGGUCUUCGGAUCGUAAAACUCUGUUAUUAGGGAAGAACAAAUGUGUAAGUAACUAUGCACGUCUUGACGGUACCUAAUCAGAAAGCCACGGCUAACUACGUG